GUGGGCUGAUAACACUACAUAGAGCUCAUUGGAAGUCGCUUUGGAUAAAAGUGUCGGCUAAAUAAAUAAAUGUAAAUGUCAUAUAGCACUAGUGUCUAAAAAAAAAAGUUUAAUUUCCCAUUCAUCAUCCCACAGCUAUAGCUAAACCCAAUUUUUACAUCGUUUCCCCUUUUCGAAGACCUUGCAACAGCAGAACCUGCUUCUCCUCCACCAGUAAACGACAAAGUAGCUAUGAAAAUAAAAAAUUUUCAUGAACGGCUUUGUAUGCCGAACGGGCCAAGGAAUUUUUUUUAAAGGUAAAUCCAAAGGUCGCAGGUUUGAAUCCCACCUGCAGCUCCCGUACCCGUGAGCAAGGUGCUUGCCCUAAGUUGUUCUGGAAAAAGUUACCCAGCUGUAUAAAUGGCCAAAUAACUAAGAGGCUUAAUGUUGUAAGUCGCUUUGCAGCGAAGCAUCAGCCGCACAGUAAAUGUACAUGUCGACGGACUCCGUAUGAGGCUCUACAGCGGAAAUAACCGGGCGACAUAAUUUCUGUCUGGGGCCGAGUGAUGCAUUUUUCAGAGGCAAAUGCGCAGUGUUGGGCAUUUAAGCUUUGAGAUGAAGGCCGUGGCCGGAUGCGCGCGCGCAGGCCGCGCGCUGCCCCGCAUCCCGCUCUCGCGCGCCUCUGACAGCUCCUUGGCGACUAUGAGGUAGAGGAUGCUCGCGCACUGGAACCCGGAGCCCAUUGGUCACCCUUUGAAGUCGUCAUCCACAACAAUCCGUCCCUCAGCCAUAUAAACACACGCGGAGGAGCUCGUCCGUCUUGCAGCCGCCCGGUAGCGUCAGGGGCUCCGCGGGAGAGGAGGGGGAGGGGGGGGGGUCGUCCCUGGGUGGCCGGGCGCGCGGCUCCGCCUCAAUGGCAGCCGGAGAGGAGCAGAAGAGACGCAGGCAACACAUCCUCCACCUGUUGAUCCAUCGCAGCGCAGUACAGAGCGCGCAGCAGCAGCAGGAGCAGGAAGGAUCGCGCGCGGCCGCGCUUCCGCACAUCUCGGCAACGACAGACGAUGCGAAAAGCGCUCCUUCGCUCACGCGCCUUCCGACAGGGGCGAGCGGCGGAGACCGAGGAACCGACGCGGCUUCCCGCCCCGGGUUUCACCUCUGCGCGUCUCCCUCCGUAUGGAUCCGCUUCCCUCCCAUGUGGCCGCGGUCGCUGUCCGGCGGCGAUCGUAGGAACGUGGAUUUCGCCCGGUUCCAAGUUUGGGGUCCAGCGGAUGGGAGAGGUGUGGUGCGGACGGGAGCUCCGGGAUCCGGCGGUUUCAGCACCCGGACGGCGGACAGCUCCCGCAGCCGCCCCGACGUCCGGUCAGUUUGAACCGUCACCUUCAUUCGUGGAUCGAUCCACUGAUUGAUCGCCCAGAUUGACUGAUUUUUUUUUUGUUUUUUUGAAACACAUGCUGACUGAUACUUUGUGCUCACAGUGACGCCCCACCCGUUGUCAUAUCCAUUCCAGACCCCUGUCAUCAAAAUAACCAUCGUUUAUUUCAUUUCAUCCCAAUUGUCGGGUCAUUCUUAACUUAAAUCUAGGUUUUUUUUUUUUUCUUUCCUUUCCACCUUUUUCAAAACAAUUGGCUCCUGAGAACUAAACCUGGAGAAUUAUUGCCAUCUUAGGGCUGGCAAAUAAAUAGAAAUAAAUAAAACA
ensembl:lncRNA